rnacentral:tRNA from 1 species
GGUGACUCAGUGGUAGAGUGCUUGCCUUGCAUGCGUGAGGCCCUGGGUUCGAUCCUCAGAACCA